rnacentral:pre_miRNA from 1 species
CUAGCACCUCAAUGUUGUUCUGUCUGUUUCCAUAGCUUAUAUUGUAAGGUACUUAUAAGCUCGUGAACAACAGGCAGGACAACUGGAAGUGGUGUUUUUUUUCA